rnacentral:misc_RNA from 1 species
UCCGGCUUAUCACCGGCGGUUUCUUUAGAGUGCCCAACUAAAUGAUGGCAACUAAAGACGAGGGUUGCGCUCGUUGCGGGACUUAACCCAACAUCUCACGACACGAGCUGACGACAGCCAUGCACCACCUGCACACAGGCCACAGGGGAAACCACAUCUCUGCAGUCGUCCUGUGCAUGUCAAACCCAGGUAAGGUUCUUCGCGUUGCUUCGAAUUAAACCACAUGCUCCGCUGCUUGUGCGGGUCCCCGUCAAUUCUUUUGGGUUUCGGCCUUGCGACUAUACUCCCCAGGCGGUAUACUUAACGCGUUAGCUCCGGCACAGCCAGGGUUGAUUCCGGCUACACCAAGUAUACAUCGUUUACGGCAAGGACUAC